rnacentral:rRNA from 1 species
UACAGAGGUCUCAAGCGUUGUUCGGAUUCAUUGGGCGUAAAGGGUGCGUAGGCGGCGCGGUAAGUCGGGUGUGAAAUCUCGGGGCUUAACUCCGAAACUGCAUUCGAUACUGCCGUGCUUGAGGACUGGAGAGGAGACUGGAAUUUACGGUGUAGCAGUGAAAUGCGUAGAUAUCGUAAGGAAGACCAGUGGCGAAGGCGGGUCUCUGGACAGUUCCUGACGCUGAGGCACGAAGGCCAGGGGAGCAAACGGG